UAAAAUGUCGAACUCCUUUGUAUGUAUGGAUCAGUUUUCAGCAUUUUAUCCUUUGCACUUUCAAUGUCAUGAAAUAAUCUUUGAUUCCCUUUACUAUGAAGUUUUUUGUCAGCAUCACUUCCUCUGGGAUAUCUUCAUCCUUUCUGUCGUGGCCACUUUCCUCUUUAUGUCAAUAAUUUUGCCUCCACUGAGUUUUUCUGGCUAGAUAUUAAGAGUGUCUCAAACAGUGGAAGUAUCAACAUUUCCAUGGUCAGCUGUUUCUUCUAUAACACCGUUCAAUUGAUCUUCCCUACCAAUAUCUUCAUUUUUAGUUUCUUUGCUGCAUUUUCAUCUUUGUUGUCCAAUUCCCUCAUUUGAUUAUUCAUUUUUGUAAAAUGUUAUGGGGAUUUAUUACAGAGAGAGAAACAAGGAGGCAACACAAGUAACUACAUAUUGUGCUUUCUGUGCAUGAAGUGAACAAUAGGUAUGCUUCAACUAAUCACUAUCACUGACACAUUUUGAAGUGAUGUGACUAGUCAAUGAUCACAGUGCUCAUCUGUUGUUUUGUACUGACUUGUGGGCUGAAGAGCUAGCAGUAAGUUUGUGCUUUAUGCAGUUUUCACAGUAAGUCUUUGUUACAAAUUUGUAUCGCCUUAUUGGGAGACUUGUUAUUUAAGUAAACCACAGUAACUGAAAUUUUAAAAUAUUGGAACCAUCAAAUCCAGACCCAAAACAUUAAUACCUACACAUACUCUCUAGGGUUAAAAUAUCUGAGCUAAAUUUAUAUUUAAAUUUGCAAGAGACAGCUUUCAUACAAAUAUAUCCAUUUAUAUAUAAAUAUGUUUAUAUGUAUACAUACAGUCUAUGUUUUCAUAUAUAUAACUAGGUUAUAUAUAAUUCAAUUAUAUAUAAUUUAUAUGUAAUAGGCUGUAUAUAGAGAUAUAGAUUAUAUAAAUAAAAUUAUAGCUGUAGCCUAUUUAUUGGCCUAGUAAAAACCAUAUAAUACUACAACAGACUAGACCUUCAUUUGAGCACACAAGUAAGUCUGUUUUGAGUGAGAGCUUCUUUGAGUGAUUCUGUGAACUUCAUUGCGUUUGGUCUAGCUGAACUUGACAUUCCUUUUAAUUUUUCUACUAACGCGCCAGCUCCGAUGCUCCACAUUCUUACAACUAACUCAUGAUCAGCUUUUAUUUCUCAGAUCUCCUGUAAUUCCAUCUUAAGCUCUUAUUUAUUUGGAGACCUUCACCGCAAUAUACUUUUCCCAGCCAUUAAUUUCAGUAUUGUCUGGGUUUUUUGUUUGUUUUUGUAGCAGAUUGUUCAUUCUGCUGAUUGUUGUAUAUUAGUUUGGGGUUACAGUUUCUUGUAUGAAUAUGUAUAACUCUCCUACUACUUUGUAAAGCCAGGGCAGUUACUAAACAUUUAGCAUUGAGUCUGGCAUGUAGUAAGUCCUCAUACAUGAUAGUUUCUUUGUCUCUUUGCUGUCUCUAGUAAAAGUAGCUGCACGUAUCAGGGACUUAUAUUUUAAAAUUUUAAUUGUAACUUUGGCUCUGCAGUGCCCAUGUCAGGCUUUUACUUGUCAGGCAAAUUGUUAUGGUAUACCAUUUUCUUUUUCUCCUUUAUUUGAAUCUCCCCUCUUUAAGAUUUUCUUACUACCCUUACAUGUUUUAGAUUCUUGUUUUUGCAAUUGUGGAUUAUUUUCAUCUCUUUUUAGUCUUCUCCUGUCUGUUCUAAUUCUCAAAAUCAAGUUUUUCCAUCUCUGACCAUAUGCUUAGUUGGCAUUGAUUGUACACUUCCUGUGAGUUUAUGCAUUUACAUAAAUUACACUACAAUGGGGCAUUUUUCUUAUUAAUUAAGAAAUACUAGUAUUCAUUAAGGAAUUAUUGCUCUGUAGUUAUAAAUUCUUUAAGUUAAAUGCAAAAUAUCAAAGCAGCUUCUGAUUUUUUUCUUUUUGUUACAGAAAAAACUCCCAUGUCUGCACAUUCAUAGUGUGCAUGGAAGAAGAGGGAAAAAUACCUUUUUACAGUUUUGGUGCUUGGGGCUUAUUGUUAUUAUUGGUAGCUGGUUUAUAGAAAUUUGAGAUAUUUUUGACUUUCUAUAUUAAAAUUUACUAUAAUAGUCUUACAUGAAAAUCUUUAGAUAAGCAGGAGGAUUUGCCAAAAUAAUUUUUUUAUCAGAUUUUAAGGUUUUGUGUGUAUUUCUAAUUUUUGUUUCAAUUGCUUUUCCUGUCUGCUUUCAACUUAGCAUGAGGGCUUCCUAUCUAAUAUCAAAUAAAAUUAUGUUAAAUAUGAAUAUAUUAGAUACAGAUUGUAGGAGGGGGGGAUGGUUAAGUGAGGUAUCCUAAUUGAUCUAUACUUAACUCUAAAUUCCAAUACUCUACGGCAAUACCAUCAAAUGACAGUAAAAGUUGUGUUAUCACUUCAGUGAAAUCAUUUCUUAACAUAAGAAGACUGAUUUUGACUUACUAGUUUUAGAAUAAGAUUAAGUAAGAAGACUUAAAGGCCCACCUUUGAACUCAUAAAAAGCCUGGCCUAGUGAAAAAGCAUAUUUUACUGGUUUGCUUGCUUAAAAUUAUUUAAGACUCAUAUUUUACCUUGGAGAUGAUUUUGCCUAUAAAUUAAUAAAGAUGUAUGUUUCUGG
rnacentral:lncRNA from 1 species